ACCAGGUGCGGUUGCACACACCUGUAGCCCCAGCUACUUAGGAGGCUGUGGCAGGAGGAUCGCUUGAGUACAGGAGCUCUGGGCUGUAGUGCACUAUGCUGAUCUGGUGUCUGCACCAAGUUUGGCAUCAAUACGGUGACCUCUUGGGAGCAGAUCAAAACUCCUGUGCUGAUCAGAAGUGGGAUCACGCCUGUGAAUAGCCACUAUACUCUAGUCUGGGCAACAUGGCAAGACUCUGUUUCCA
ensembl:misc_RNA Metazoa_SRP Metazoan signal recognition particle RNA